rnacentral:rRNA from 1 species
CAUGUCUUUUUGAUUAUGAUUUAAGGUCUUGUCUGCUCAAUGUAAAAUAAAUAGCCGCAGUAUUAUGACUGUGCAAAGGUAGCAUAAUAAUUAGUUUUUUAAUUGAAAACUGGAAUGAAAGAUUGGACGAGAAAAUUUCUGUCUCUUUUUAAAAUAUUAUUGAAUUUUAUUUUUAAGUUAAAAAGCUUAAAUUUUUGUAAAAGACGAGAAGACCCUAUAGAGUUUGAUAAAAGUUAAUUAAAUAUUUUUUGGUAAAUUAUUUAAUUUAAUUUUAUUUAGUUGGGGUGACUUAAAGAUUAAUAAAAUUCUUUAAUAAUAAAGUUAAUGAUUUUUAAAUUUUAUAUUUUUUAUAAAAAAUAUAAUAUAAAUUACCUUAGGGAUAACAGCGUAAUCUUUCUUAAGAGUUCUUAUUAUAAGAAAGGUUUGCGACCUCGAUGUUGGAUUAAAAUAAAUUUUUGGUGCAGUAGCUUAAAAAUUAGGUCUGUUCGACCUUUAAAAUUUUACAUGAUCUGAGUUUAGACCGGUGUGAGCCAGGUUGGAUUCUAUCUUUAAAUAGAUUAUAUAUUUUAGUACGAAAGGACCACAUAUAUAUUAUAAUUAAUUG